ACGGCCUGGUGAUUACUCAAUUUGAGUACUUUGCUACUCAGAACAUCUAAUCUAAUUUACAUAUCAUAUAUACAAAAAUUUAGAUCAAAUCUAAAUUGUAUUAGAUCUAAUUUUACAUUAGAUCAUAUUUAAAAUUAGAUCAUAACAUAUCUCAUGCAUUGCUAAAUCUAGAUUUCAACUCUACAUACAUAUAUGUUCAUGUCAUAAUGAACCUCUGCUCUGAUAUCAUUUGAAGAGAAGAAUGGUGG
rnacentral:lncRNA from 1 species